GACAAGCGUUACCUUGCGCUCAACCCUGACAAAGAGCUGGGAACAAGGAUCAAGGCAUCGUUGGAGUGGACGGUGUAGUGACUACGCACAAGCAUCAUCCAGUGACGUCAGCGGACAACCCCCCUCUUUCAAAACUUUGCUCUUAAGGCCAGAAGACAGCGCAGCAUCCGCGACUUUAAAGGUCGAUCCUACAAGAAAGCAACUGGAGGUAUCGCGAGACUUUGAGCGAGGAAGGUAUAACGAUGAUGCUAACGUCAGGCCUUGUUUCAAGCUACGCUUUGUUAGCUUAGCGUGUAGCUUCCAACUCACACCUUUUCUUCCUGAAUCAGGCCUCACCUCCAUCUCCCACCAGGCCUCCUCCUAUCAUGCUUUGCUGCUCCUGCUGAUGAAGAUGACGCCGACAACAAAGGAGAGGCAACGAGCGCAGUCAGGUCACAUGUCCAGCUCAUCCGCUCCUCCAUCACAACAGCAACUUUUUUCAACAUUAUUGCCAUUGUCUCAGCUGGAGCAUUUAGUUACUGUUUUGUAGGCCUACGUAGCUCAAAUGCUAACGCUGGAGAGUUCUCUGAAUGACCGAGGCCGCUUGUUGAACAGUGAUCAUUUCUUGACCUUUGCCCCCCUUCGCCUGUACCACUUAUUUUGUGGUUCAGCCUGGUGUCCAAAAAUGAAGCGUGAUGAAUGUAUACCUUCUUGGAGCACCUAAUAAAGCCAAUUCGGGACGAGAUUCUAAAUGCAGGCAUGUGCACGGUGAGGAUGGCAAGCAAGAAGUUGUGUCUCCUGCCGCACAAGAAAGUGUGAUGUUAUUUAUUGGACAGUCACCAUGGAGCUGUUGCCAUCAGCGACAAUAGGGUGGAUUCAUCCAUUCAGCACAGGACGACGAGGAGGAGGAGGCAUCCUUCAAGUCGCGCGGAGGAGGUGGCGAUGUGAGCAGGAAGUUUCCCGACAUGCAGUUGUUAUUGUUCAAGCUUUCAUUGGAGCGCUGUGGGUCCCAUGACAGCGACACCUGUCGGCAGGAGGCAAGGCGGAAAAAAAAAACGCAUAAACCAGCUGCACGGCUCGAUGACCUCUUCCUCUGCACAGAGCGGGAAGAUGCAGCUCAGACAUGUGCAGAGGGGGGAGGGGAGCAAGGAGGGGGUGAAAAACCGGUUUCCAAUAGUGACGGAUGAUUUGUAGGUAACAGUUGUUUGCCUUGCGGCCUGAGGCCUGGCAGCAAGCGCCAUGCUCUCCUUAAAGGAACAGUACGUCACAGCAUCUCUUUGACCUGUUGACCCCCCCAGCCCACGAAUACCUCAACGUGCUGUUUACAACAUGAACUCAUAAGCAGCCAAAAUGUCCUCCUCUCAGCUCCACUCAAGCCACUAGAGGGCGUCAGACGCUCCAGGGCAACUUCUAUUGGACUCAUCUUUUGUUCGACUUCCGAGGACCACAUGCAGUGACAUGUGCAGCCACUGGGGGCGACUUCAACCCGGUAGAACCUUUUUAACAAGCGAUAAGUCACCACAAGUCUAUCACACUAGUGGGUAUGCUUUCUAGACCGACCAGUUUUGUGAUGGAGAUAUAUUAGGUACUAGUGCCCUGGUAACACCUUGCCUACCCCGAGUGGCAAGGUAGUGAGUGAAUAGCUUUGAUGCAAAAAACCCCAAAACAAAACCCAACAACUAAAACAAAAGUAUGAUUAAAAAACAGCAACCAUUGAAACAACAUAUUAACGAAAAUGACAUGAAGUUAAAUUGAGUUGAGCUUUGUUGUGCAUAAACGGUAAUCUAUUAGACACUCGGGGGUUUUGUCGCCAUCGCGUGGUUAAAGCACGUCAACACUUCAAGAGGUGACUUGUGUGGUCAAUGGUCAUAUUAACAGACACUUGAAGUGUUUUUACUUUGCUUUAUUGUUGAUUAUUGCAUUAGUACAACAAAGAAAAUUAUUCAAGAGAGGAAAAAAAGUUAAUUUGUCACAUUCAUGUACACAUCAAAUGAGCAUUGUCAUUCACUUGUUUGGAUGUCUUAAAAAAUCAAAAUGUAAUUAUUUGAUAAUCAUUGUCAUUCAUUAUUUCUAUUACUAUAAUGUGGCCUUUGACCCUUGAGUCCUUGGCUAAUUUUAAAGAAAAAUACAUUACUUGUUCAGUCAUAAAAAAGCAGAAGCAUUGAUUUAUGCGAGAAAUCAAGUCUUGAAAUCAUUAUGUGGGGCCUGGUGGCUCCGCCCCUUCACAUGGAGGCUUAAUUGAUUGGAUGAGGCUAAUUGUUCCCAAUAUUGAACUCAACAGUGCCCCAAAUCUGCAAGGAGACAAGAAAAGAUUUUGAGUUUUUUCACAAUCCUGUCAGUCACGUGUUGAGAUGAUGUGUGUGUCAUCACUAAAGUGCUCCCGUUA